UACAGAGGCCUCGAGCGUUAGGCGGAAUCACUGGGCUUAAAGCGUGUGUAGGCGGACUUCUAAGUACCUUGUGAAAUCCCACGGCUUACCCGUGGAACGGCUGGGUAUACUGGGAGUCUUGAGCCACCUAGGGGCGAGUGGAACAAAUGGUGGAGCGGUGAAAUGCGUAGAUAUCAUUUGGAACGCCAAUGGUGAAAACAACUCGCUGGGGGUGUGCUGACGCUGAGACACGAAAGCGUGGGGAGCAAACAGG
rnacentral:rRNA from 1 species